GCCUAACGGCUGAACUGGCAACUUGGAGAAGUGGCAAGUCUUCCAGUAUGGGGAGCAAAACAGCUAUGGGUCAAGUCCGAUAUCUUUAGGAGAAGUCUUAUUGUGAGGGCGAGUUAUAUAACACCAUAGGACUGGCCGUCCCAUAUGAAAAGAUUAUAUUAGAAUUGAAUGAAGCUUUGUUUAUAUAUUGAUAAUGACAGUAUAUAUAUCGUGUCUUGACUAAUUGCGUGCCAGCAGUCGCGGUAAUACGUAAGAGACUAGUGUUAUUCAUCUUAAUUAGGUUUAAAGGGUACCCAGACGGUCAAUAUAGCUUAUAAAAUGUUAGUACUUGACUAGAGUUUUAUGUAAGAGGGCAGUACUUGAGGAGGAGAGAUGAAAUUUCGUGAUACCAAAGGGACUCUGUAAAGGCGAAGGCAGCCCUCUAUGUAAAAACUGACGUUGAAGGACGAAGGCACAGAGAACAAACAGGAUUAGAUACCCAAGUAGUCUUUGCAGUAAAUGAUGAAUGCCAUAGGUUAGAUUGAUCAAUUAUAGUCUAGGGUUAGUCUAGCAAACUAAUGCCCUAUGAUAUAAUUCAAAAUAUCUGGUCUAUAAAUGAAAGUGUAAGCAUUUCACCUCAAGAGUAAUGUGGCAACGCAGGAACUGAAAUCACUAGACCGUUUCUGACACCAGUAGUGAAG
rnacentral:rRNA from 6 species